GAAUUUUAUUACAGUCAGCCAAAAAGGAUUUUAAGUGUUCUCUUUUAGUACUACAAGCCAAGACUGAUAAUUCCCUCUUUGGUCCCAGAGGUUUGGGAGUAGCAGUCUUUUAUACUUGCUUUAAUUUUGAAAUUUUCUUUCAGAUUAGUUCCUCUACUUGUUUAGCCUGGAUUUGGCCUUGAGUCGCUUGAGCUCCUGGUCUCAGUGCCAGAGAUGACUUAGCAGUUGAGCUGCCUGGGCCCAAAACCUCUUUCUGCUCAUCCUUAGAGCUGCUGAGAGAUCCUAUAAGUGAGGCUCUCCUUCUGAACGAAGAGCUUUCCUUGAUGGGAAGUGGACUGGGAGCUCCGACUAAAGUUCUCUCCACACUCU